UUUAUUAUUGUUUGUUUUGUUUAGUGUUUAAGAUAAUAUAAUUGUAUUUUGAUUGUUAUAUCUAGGAUUUCAUCCGUGGUAUACUGUCUCGUAUUACUAUUGAUCCAAAUCCGUCCUACUAUCUAAUUUUGUUCACUGAAAUUAAAUAUAUUUAAUGGAUUCCCCCUGGUAUACCGUCUCGUAUUACUAACGAUCCAAACUCGUCCUACCAUCUAACCACGUUCAGUGAAAUUAAACAUAUCUAAUAGAUUUCACCUAUGGUAUACCGUCGCAUACUACUAUCGACCCAAAAUCGUCCUACCAUCUAACCCUGUUCAGUGAAAUUAAACAUUAUAU
rnacentral:sRNA from 1 species